rnacentral:rRNA from 1 species
AAACUGAAGAGUUUGAUCCUGGCUCAGAUUGAACGCUGGCGGCAUGCCUAACACAUGCAAGUCGAACGGUAACAGGCAGAAGCUUGCUUUUGCGCUGACGAGUGGCGGACGGGUGAGUAAUACUUAGGAAUCUGCCCAGUAGUGGGGGACAACAUGUGGAAACGCAUGCUAAUACCGCAUACGCCCUACGGGGGAAAGCGGGGGAUCUUCGGACCUCGCGCUAUUGGAUGAGCCUAAGUCAGAUUAGCUUGUUGGUGGGGUAAUGGCCUACCAAGGCGACGAUCUGUAGCUGGUCUGAGAGGACGAUCAGCCACACUGGAACUGAGACACGGUCCAGACUCCUACGGGAGGCAGCAGUGGGGAAUAUUGCACAAUGG